rnacentral:rRNA from 1 species
AUUGAACGCUGGCGGCAUGCCUUACACAUGCAAGUCGAACGGCAACGGGCCUUCGGGUGCCGACGAGUGGCGAACGGGUGAGUAAUACAUCGGAACGUGCCCGAUCGUGGGGGAUAACGAGGCGAAAGCUUUGCUAAUACCGCAUACGAUCUACGGAUGAAAGCAGGGGACCGCAAGGCCUUGCGCGGACGGAGCGGCCGAUGGCAGAUUAGGUAGUUGGUGGGAUAAAAGCUUACCAAGCCGACGAUCUGUAGCUGGUCUGAGAGGAUGAUCAGCCACACUGGGACUGAGACACGGCCCAGACUCCUACGGGAGGCAGCAGUGGGGAAUUUUGGACAAUGGGCGCAAGCCUGAUCCAGCCAUGCCGCGUGCAGGAUGAAGGCCUUCGGGUUGUAAACUGCUUUUGUACGGAACGAAAAGCCUUCUUUUAAUACAGGAGGGUCAUGACGGUACCGUAAGAAUAAGCACCGGCUAACUACGUG